rnacentral:rRNA from 1 species
AAUCAACGCUGGCGGCGUGCCUCAGACAUGCAAGUCGAACGAGAAAGUCCCCUUCGGGGGAUGAGUAAAGUGGGGCACGGGUGAGUAACACGUAGGUAAUCAACCUUCGGGUGGGGAAUAACCCAGGGAAACUUGGGCUAACACCGCAUAAUGCAGCGGCACCACAUGGUGACAGUUGUUAAAGCGGGGGAUUUUCGAACCUCGCGCCUGAAGAGGAGCCUGCGGCGGAUUAGCUAGUUGGUAAGGUAACGGCUUACCAAGGCGACGAUCCGUAACCGGCCUGAGAGGGCGGUCGGUCACACUGACACUGACAUACGGGUCAGACUCCUACGGGAGGCAGCAGUCGGGAAUUUUGGGCAAUGGGCGAAAGCCUGACCCAGCAACGCCGCGUGAAGGAUGAAAUCCCUCGGGAUGUAAACUUCGCAAGAUUGGGGAGAAUUAGUAGGGGUUAAUACCCCCUAUGAUGACGGUACCAUUUGUAAGCUCCGGCUAACUCCGUGCCAGCAGCCGCGGUAAUACGGGGGAGCAAGCGGUUG